rnacentral:rRNA from 1 species
UACGAAGGGGGCUAGCGUUGCUCGGAAUCACUGGGCGUAAAGGGUGCGUAGGCGGGUUUUUAAGUCAGAGGUGAAAUCCUGGAGCUCAACUCCAGAACUGCCUUUGAUACUGAAAGUCUUGAGUAUGGGAGAGGUGAGUGGAACUGCGAGUGUAGAGGUGAAAUUCGUAGAUAUUCGCAAGAACACCAGUGGCGAAGGCGGCUCACUGGCCCAUAACUGACGCUGAGGCGCGACAGCGUGGGGAGCAAACGAGGA